rnacentral:rRNA from 1 species
CGAGGAAUAUUGGUCAAUGGGCGGAAGCCUGAACCAGCCAAGUCGCGUGAGGGAAGACGGUCCUAUGGAUUGUAAACCUCUUUUGCCGGGGAGCAAGACGGUCACGAGUGACCUACUGAGAGUACCCGGAGAAAAGCAUCGGCUAACUCCGUGCCAGCAGCCGCGGUAAUACGGAGGAUGCGAGCGUUAUCCGGAUUUAUUGGGUUUAAAGGGUGCGUAGGCCGACUGUCAAGUCAGUGGUAAAAUUGAGAGGCUCAACCUCUUCGAGCCAUUGAAACUGGCGGUCUAGAGUGGGCGAGAAGUAUGCGGAAUGCGAGGUGUAGCGGUGAAAUGCAUAGAUAUCACGCAGAACUCCGAUUGCGAAGGCAGCAUACCGGCGCCCGACUGACGCUGAGGCACGAAAGCGUGGGUAUCGAGCAGGAUUAGAUACC